UCGGUAAUAAAACACCGAAAACUGUAAAUCAGUGUCGCUGUCAACACAAACGUCAAAUUUCAGGCGUCCGUUUCUGGCAGCUUUGAGCGCAACUGUCUCUCUCUCUCUGAUAACCGCGAUGCAUAGUGGCAUCCCGCUUGCGCUGUAGAGAAAGUAAAGCAGGAAGAACGUAUGCGCGUGUGAGAUCUGUUCGUUUCCAAAAUUUUCGCACACAAUGCAUUCAUUACGUCACUCCAAAAAAACAAACAAGGCACGCGUGGACCCGUCCGUAGAACCAGUAAAUGGCCAUAACAACAAUGAGAAACAAGCGCAUCGAGGAUGACUACAACGCAAUCGAUAAAGGCCUAAGUCAAAAUAAACUUUUUUUGGCUUAAAUUACAAUUUUCUACCCUCUGUUCAGCAGAGGCAAGGACAAAUUGCAGCAUGUACAGUAGGUAGUAGUAGCUGGCGGAAGAAAACUCGUCCAGUUCCUCAGCCUCGAUUGCACCAGUUGUCAACAACCGUACCCCAAUCACCACCACCAGCGGCAACAGCACCACCAACAAAUUCAACAACAGACAUCCGGAGAGAAGCGUCCCCUUCCUGACUUCUUGUGUUCUUCUUCUUCCACGGCGGAGCGCACCAGGCGGCGGUCACAAUUGCAAUGGAACAGAGUGGAUAGCACCAAGAUUGUCACUGCGAUGUCAUAUUUUGUUAUUACUUUCUGUAAGUGUACAUCUGGUUCUCGGAACUGCUGGAAUACAGAUACGAAUUAUUAUCAAGGAUUUACUAGUUACGAGGAGUUGCGAUGAACCUGUACAACAUCGGGACCACCGGUGUACCGGUGACCAAAAAGGGCAACAAGCAAGGACUGCAGCAAAUAGUGUUACGUUUAUUCAACAUUCCAGAGAUAUUAAGCAUCUAUCGGAAACCGUUCAAAAUCCUACAAACCUUACUCGUUCCGAAGUGCCAACUUGGAGGAGGAAAUCGUUAAAAUGGCAUUGAUAAAUUUCACGAUAUUAAACAUGAUUAGGUAAAUCGAAAUAAGCGUUUGAUAGAAAGAGAGAAAUGGUCUCUUCGUUUAAUCACGAUAGAGUAGGGAACAUGGAAAAUUGAACGGCAUUCUGGUAAGUACUUUUGGCUCGAACGGUUGUGUUUGAGUUUGUUUUAUUAAAUUUAAAAGAAAUUCACUACAAAUG